CCUACGGGAUGCACCAGUGGGGAAUAUUGCACAAUGGGCGCAAGCCUGAUGCAGCCAUGCCGCGUGUGUGAAGAAGGCCUUCGGGUUGUAAAGCACUAUCAGCGGGGAGGAAGGCGGUGAGGUUAAUAACCUCACCGAUUGACGUUACCCGCAGAAGAAGCACCGGCUAACUCCGUGCCAGCAGCCGCGGUAAUACGGAGGGUGCAAGCGUUAAUCGGAAUUACUGGGCGUAAAGCGCACGUAGGCGGUUGAUUAAGUUAGAUGUGAAAUCCCCGGGCUUAACCUGGGAAUGGCAUCUAAGACUGGUCAGCUAGAGUCUUGUAGAGGGGGGUAGAAUUCCAUGUGUAGCGGUGUAAUGCGUAGAGAUGUGGAGGAAUACCGGUGGCGAAGGCGGCCCCCUGGACAAAGACUGACGCUCAGGUGCGAAAGCGUGGGGAGCAAACAGGAUUAGAUACCCGGGUAGUC
rnacentral:rRNA from 1 species